rnacentral:rRNA from 1 species
GACGAACGCUGGCGGCGUGCCUAAUACAUGCAAGUAGAACGCUGAAGGAGGAGCUUGCUUCUCUGGAUGAGUUGCGAACGGGUGAGUAACGCGUAGGUAACCUGCCUGGUAGCGGGGGAUAACUAUUGGAAACGAUAGCUAAUACCGCAUAAUAGUAGAUGUUGCAUGACAUUUGCUUAAAAGGUGCAAUUGCAUCACUACCAGAUGGACCUGCGUUGUAUUAGCUAGUUGGUGAGGUAACGGCUCACCAAGGCAACGAUACAUAGCCGACCUGAGGGGGUGAUCGGCCACACUGGGACUGAGACACGGCCCAGACUCCUACGGGAGGCAGCAGUAGGGAAUCUUCGGCAAUGGACGGAAGUCUGACCGAGCAACGCCGCGUGAGUGAAGAAGGUUUUCGGAUCGUAAAGCUCUGUUGUAAGAGAAGAACGAGUGUGAGAGUGGAAAGUUCACACUGUGACGGUAUCUUACCAGAAAGGGACGGCUAACUACGUG